CGAAGAAGGUCGGUCAAAUUUUGGGGAAGACAAAUUUUUUAAAUAUCUUUUACUAAAUAAGGAAGAAGUUGUUCAAAUUUCAAAAUCAGUAAGAUUAAUCAUGUUAGAUGAUAAUUUUACAAUGUAAUCACUACGAUGGCUUUUACAAUUUGAGGAUUUGAACAGAUUUUAAUGUUAGCACAAGUGGAAGGUACUGGUGGUUUGUAACUGCGUCACUUAUACUUGACUUCUCAUACGUGCUAUUAGAAAUUACAUAGAUUCCUUUUAUUUCAAAUUGAUGUAAACAUGCUGCCGGUACGACAAAAACGAGUAAGCAGAAAACCAACGAGGGAGCGGUGCCCAAUCCCAGGUACAAAGGGAGCCGUCGGUUCCGCAGGGUGGAAUAACCAGCGACGAAAUACCGUCCAGUAAUGCAGUCCAGCCCUUUGAGACAGGAUAUAUAGAACUUUCUUUUUUCAUGAUGUAUACAACUUAAGUCUUACCUGUACAAUUCAUCCCGUCUCCUGUGAAUCCCUUGUUACAUCGACAGGUGCACGAUCCCCAGAUGUUAGUGCAGGUGGCGUAUUUAGAACAGGGAUGUGUGUUUCUUAAACAUUCGUUGAUGUCUACAUAAUAUUGCAUUACUGACUUAUAACGAUUAUAAUAGUAAAACCAGGAUUUUUUUUUUUACGUUAAUCUCGUUUCAUUUUAAUGGAAACUUGUUUAUGAAUUUCAUUUAGGAAAAACGUGUUUAAGUAUGACGCAUUUAACAAUAAUCAUGAAAAAUAGAAAUAUCCAUUCAAAUGAUUAGGUACUUGCGAAAAGAAACACACUGAAAAUUGUAAAUCUAUAAUAGGUAUCUAACAUUAAUAUCUUAGAGGUUUGUUAUAUACCUCUACAAUCAUUGUUGAGUGGUUCGAACCCAGCAUUACACAGACAGCGAAAAGAUCCGAUGGUGUUUUUACAUGUUGUGUAAGUGUCGUUGCAGUUGUCUGUACGUAGUUUGCACUCAUCGAUGUCUAGUCACAAAUAUCAAAAUAACAUUUAAGCAAAAUUUAUAAUUGAUAUCAUCAAUAGUAUGAACAGAAUUAGUAUUUAAUUGAUGGUGUGUAUUUCUCAUUUCAAUAAUUCGGUAUAUUGUUAUAUUUACUUCAAGAAAAAGGUACUCCUUUGUAGAUAUGAAAACCAACAUUUGUUACAUUACGUUUCAUAUCACAGUGGUUAUCAUUAUACUUUGAAUUGCAACACAAUUGCAACAUAACUGAGUAAUGUACCAGUGCAUACUGAAAAUAUGGAUACUUUCCUAUGAUAAAGUGAUGGUGUGGGAAUAACUCUUUUGUGGAAGUAACUAAUACAAAAAUAAAUUAGAAUUGAAUUAACCUUGUUUACUUUUAAUCUAGAAUCCUAGAUAAAUGUUUGAACAUUUACUGUGCAUUUCUUAUUGGCAUGUGUCUAUGGUAUUGAUAAAUAAAGGACUACAUGUAUGCUUAUCAUUUAUCUAAACAUUUCCGAUGGAAAUAAUUUUUUCGAUCCUCUAAUCAUCGCAAAAUUUACAUAGAUUUCCACAUUUACAGCACCAGUAGAAUUUAUUUGUGCAUACCUUUGCAAUCUACUCCAUUUCCUGCAAAUCCUAAAUUACAUUUGCACGUAAAAGAGCCUAUGGUGUUGGAACAUGUAGCCUCCGCGUCACAGUUGUGUGUUCCCCGCCUACAUUCGUCUAUGUCUGUGCAAGAAGAUAGGCGUUUAUAGUGUAUAUAGUAUGGAUCUUCUGAACGUACAUAUUCAACAUAUAUUUUAUGAUAGAUAAAACAAGAACAUUUGAAAAUACCUCUACACAUUUGUCCAGAACCUUCGAAUCCGAUUUUGCAUUCACAGAUGUAUGAACCCACAGUAUUUGUGCACUUGGCAUUCGCAUGGCAGUUGUGUGUACCCAAGAGACACUCGUUGACAUCUGCAAGGGUGUUAUUCCAAAGACGGUUAAAAUCUUACACAAAUUGGUCAAAAUGCGUGUGAUUGGAAUCUUUGAAUUUGUAGUUCUAAUGAUGAAACAAUGUAACCAAAACGAUUUAAGAACGUAUUUGAUUUUAUAAGAACUACUGACCAACACAGCUUUUCUUGUCCGCUGCCAAUGCAUAACCUUUGGGACAAGUACAUCGGAAGGAUCCUGGGGUGUUUACACAAAUGGCUAAUUUUUUAGCACAAUUGUGGGUGCCACGAUAGCAUUCAUUUAUAUCUGGAGAAAAAGUAUUUUUAAAGCAACACUAAAAAUCCUAACAUCAUAAGGUAAAUGUUUAACAUUGACAGAAUCCUACCAACAUAAGGUAAAUAGUUUAACAUUUACCGAAUCCUACCAACAUAAGGUAAUUAGUUUAACAUUUACCGAAUGCUACCAACAUAAGAUAAAUAGUAUUGAGGUAAAUAAUUGACAGUUUUGCCACAAUGCUUCCAUUAAACGACAAUGACACAAAGUAGGCUCAGUUUGUAUGUAGUUGUAUAUAAACCUACACAACAUUGGAUAUGACAUUGUUACCAGCUCAUUUUCUAUGUAUUUGUAUAUAAACCUAUAUAACAUUGGAUAUGACAUUGUUACCAGCACAGUUUGUAUGUAGUUGUAUAUAAACCUAUAUAACAUUGGAUAUGACAUUGUUACCAGCACAGUUUGGCGUUCC